GGCUGUGGGGCAGGGAGCCGGGGGUCAGUCCCCGGCGCGGACCCUGAGCAGCCCCACGGCAGCAGCCCAGGAGCUGCCUUCCCGGGAAGCAGAGGGGCGUUGGGGACACGCUGGUGGCGAGGCGGCCGCUGGGCCGGGCAGUGACGCCGGUAGGGACGACGCCGAGCCGCUCUGUGCCGCGGGCAGAGCUCGGCCGCCGGGGCGGUUUUUCCUUGCACUUUGGGAGCGUUUUGGGCCGGCUUCUCCGUGUCCGGGCCCAGCUGGGUGCCGGUUUUUGGGAACACGGGAAUCAGUGAGAUCUAUUGCUGUGGCUGCAUCCAGGUGUCUUUUUUUUUAAUGCAAAACUUCCUUGUCGCUAGAAAUUGCAACGCCUGGGCUGUAGGUCAAAGAGCUCCUCGGGUUUUGAGGGCGUUUGCAUGGAAAACAGGCGCUUUCACUCCCUAAAAGCCGCUCCGAUGGCUCGUUCCCACCUCCGGGAUCGCAGGGGUCCUGCCGGCGCGGAAGCCGGGCUCGGCAGGGAGGCGCCUCUGGAAAGCAUCUCCCGAGCGGCUGCAGAGCAAACAAGCCGCCGCGUUACAUGUAGGACAAAGAUUGCAGCGCUCCGGCACGGCACGGCGUUUCUGGUUUUACCGGCCGGGGUGGUUGUUCCCGGCCGACGUAAAAUACAGCACGUAUAACUCUUAAAGGUGCAGGGUGAGCCGCUUUUCCCAUGGGAUUUAUUCCCGCGGGUCGGGGGGCUCGGCCCUCCCAGCCUCCCCGCGCACAUUGCGGGUGGGCUGAGACCGGCUGCACUUCAUACCGCGUGUGUCGGCCCGGCGGCCGGCCGUUCCCGUGGCGUGGGCUGAAUUCCCGGCACAGGGUUUCCGAGCCAUGGGAAAACUGUCCCGGCAUGCCGGGAAGGGCGCGACGUGCCGCCUGCUCCCCACGGGCCGCCCUUCAGCCCCGGCGCCGGCCAAACCCCCGGGGCGCCCGGUCCCCGCGCCAGCAGCCCGCAGAUUAGGGCUAAUCUCGUUUAAAGCAUUGCUAAUAAAAAGUUGCUGAAUUUA